CUGCAUUCUUCAGAAUAGGCACCUCUGCAGGGGAAGAAUUGCUAUACAUCUUAAAAUAGAGAUACAGGAUUAGAGAUGACACAGUAGAAUCUAAUCCAUGCCAACAAAUUAUCAAGAAAGACAGCCUUUUAAAAUUAGAGGCUAGGUGUGGAGGUUCACGCCUGUAAUCCUAGCACUCUGGGAGGCCGAGGCAGGAAGUAGCUUGAGGCCAGGAGUUCAAGACCAGCCUGAGCAAGAGCAAGACUCCAUCUCUACUAAAAACAGAAAGAAAUUAGAGAGUUAGAGCCCGUGCGGAGGCGGCGCAGAGCGCUUCAGUUCUGAGCGGCUGGGAAACCUGUGCAUCGUGUGAGGCUGUGGCGGAGCCUCUUUAAAGAAGGCACAACAGGUUGGCAGCUUCAAUUGAAGCACAUCGAGCGGCGACAGCAGCCAGAAGUCAUGAGCAACAGCGGCGAACAGAACUACGGCGGCGAGCGGGAAUCCCGUUAUGCUUCCAGAAGUGGAAGUGCUCACGGAUCGGGGAAAUCUGCAAGGCAUACCCCUGCAAGGUCUCGCUCCAAGGAAGAUUCCAGGCGUUCCAGAUCAAAGUCCAGGUCCAGAUCUGAAUCUAGGUCUAGGUCCAGAAGAAGCUCUCGAAGGCAUACCAGGUCACGGUCUCGUUCCCGCUCCCAUAGACGAUCCCGGAGCAGGUCUUACAGUCACGAUUAUCGCAGACGGCACAGCCACAGUCAUUCUCCCAUGUCUACUCGCAGGCGUCAUGUUGGGAAUCGGGUGAAUCCUGAUCCCAACUGUUGUCUUGGAGUGUUUGGGUUGAGCUUGUACACCACAGAAAGAGAUCUAAGAGAAGUGUUCUCUAAAUACGGUACCAUUGCGGAUGUCUCUGUUGUAUAUCACCAGCAGUCUAGGCGUUCAAGAGGAUUUGCCUUUGUAUAUUUUGAAAAUGUAGAUGAUGCCAGGGAAGCUAGAGAACGUGCCAAUGGAAUGGAGCUUGAUGGUCGGAGGAUCAGAGUUGAUUUCUCUAUAACAAAAAGACCACAUACCCCAACACCAGGAAUUUACAUGGGAAGGCCCACCUAUGGCAGUUCACGCCGUCGGGAUUAUUAUGACAGAGCAUACAAUCGAGGCCACGAUGAUCGGGACUACUAUAGCAGAUCAUAUAGAGGAGGAGGAAAUGGAGGAGGAGGAUGGAGAGCUGCUCAAGACAGGGAUCAGAUUUAUAGAAGGCGGUCACCUUCCCCUUACUACAGUCGUGGAGGAUACAGAUCACGUUCCAGAUCUUGAUCAUACUCACCUCGUUGCUAUU